GAUGAAGAACGCGGCGAAAUGCGAUACGUAAUGUGAAUUGCAAAUUCAGUGAAUCAUCGAGUCUUUGAACGCACAUUGCGCCCCCUGGUAUUCCGGGGGGCAUGCCUGUCCGAGCGUCAUUGCUGCCCUCAAGCACGGCUUGUGUGUUGGGCCCCGUCCUCCGAUCCCGGGGGACGGGCCCGAAAGGCAGCGGCGGCACCGCGUCCGGUCCUCGAGCGUAUGGGGCUUUGUCACCCGCUCUGUAGGCCCGGCCGGCGCUUGCCGAUCAACCCAAAUUUUUUAUCCAGGUUGACCUCGGAUCAGGUAGGGAUACCCGCUGAACUUAAGCAUAUCAAUAAGCGGAGGA
rnacentral:misc_RNA from 1 species